rnacentral:rRNA from 1 species
UACGAGUGCCUCAAGCGUUAUCCGGAAUCAUUGGGCGUAAAGGAUGUGUAGGUGGUUGUGUUAGUCUUUUGUUAAAUUCUUCGGCUUAACCGGGGGCAUGCAAAAGAAACGGCAUAACUAGAGGAUGCGAGGGGUCUGCGGAACUCAUAGUGUAGCGGUGAAAUGCGUUGAUAUUAUGGGGAACACCAAAAGCGAAGGCAGCAGACUGGAGCACUCCUGACACUGAAACAUGAAAGCGUGGGUCGCGAAUGGG